rnacentral:rRNA from 1 species
AACGAACGCUGGCGGCAGGCCUAACACAUGCAAGUCGAGCGAGCAUUUCGGUGCUAGCGGCGGACGGGGGAGUAACGCGUGGGAACGUGCCCUUUUCUGCGGAAUAGUCCUGGGAAACUGGGGGUAAUACCGCAUACGCCCUUUUGGGGAAAGAUGUAUCGGAGAAGGAUCGGCGCGCGUUGGAUUCGGUAGUUGGUGGGGUAAUGGCCCACCAAGCCGACGAUGCAUAGCUGGUUUGAGAGGAGGAUCAGCCACACUGGGACUGAGACACGGCCCAGACUCCUACGGGAGGCAGCAGUGGGGAAUCUUAGACAAUGGGGGCAACCGUGAUCAAGCCACGCCGGGUGAGUGAUGAAGGCGGUAGUGUUGUAAAGCUCUUUCAGCUGGGAAGAUAAUGACGGUACCAGCAGAAGAAGCCCCGGCUAACUCCGUG